rnacentral:rRNA from 1 species
UACGUAGGGUGCGAGCGUUGUCCGGAAUUAUUGGGCGUAAAGAGCUUGUAGGCGGUUUGUCGCGUCUGCUGUGAAAAUCCGGGGCUCAACCCCGGACUUGCAGUGGGUACGGGCAGACUAGAGUGUGGUAGGGGAGACUGGAAUUCCUGGUGUAGCGGUGAAAUGCGCAGAUAUCAGGAGGAACACCAAUGGCGAAGGCAGGUCUCUGGGCAGUUACUGACGCUGAGGAGCGAAAGCAUGGGUAGCGAACAGGAUUAGAUACCCCGU